rnacentral:lncRNA from 1 species
GGCCUCGCCCUGGAGUCUCGGCACCGUCUGGCCCCGCCGGCUGAUUACAGCCAGAGAUCGAGGGGGACCUCGCUGUCCCCCUAGAGGCCGUCAUGCGGGGUUACAGAGGCUGCGACCAAAGUCAUUCCUAGCUCCUCUCUCGGGGCUCCGGAAAGCCGUCCGCGCCUCCAGCCGCACUUUCAGCGCACGCAGGACCUGCCGCGCCCGGUGGCCACACCCGUCCCUCUGCCGGGUGACGCUGCGGGAGAUCUUGCGCCCUGGGGCUCCGGAUCCAGUUCUGUCAUGCACUUGGGUGAAAACAGACUGAAGAGUCACGGGAACCAGCUUGUCUCCCCAGUUAUGGCGCAGAGCUGCAAGGAUGGCUGUGGGUCAUUAAUUUCUCCGUGGCUGACCUGUGUUUGUAACGCCGCAGCUGUUGCGAGGGGGAAGGACACUGCUUCGGAUUCAAAUUCUGACUCCUUGCUGCAGUGUGUCACCUUGAGCCAGUCCCAGAUCUCUGCGUUCUCACAAUUGUAAAAUGUUAACAGAGGCUGCCUACCUUGUGGCUGGAAUUAAAUGAAUUAACGUGUGUGAAUGUGACUAGAAUUCAGUACAUGUUCAGGAAAAGCUGAUUUCCGCUUUGCUGUUACCGUGAAUAUUACUGUUUUAGGGUGUAGAAAAGGGUGGAAGGGGAUGUUAUUGCAUCCUGGAAGCUUAUCCUUUUGAGGUAGCUCUUCAAGUUGGCAAACACCUGCUGGACAACCCCUGAGAGAUUCAUCUGAGUGAGAGAGCACUCUCCAGCCCCAUCGGAGUGGGUUUGCAGGGAAAUCAUAAGGAAGAAAUCCUUAUCUUUCCAACACUGAGAUGCUUCUGCCGAAGAGUAGAAUGGGAGUGAGGGGACACGCAAAACGGGCUGCUGCCGGAGGAAGAGGAACAGUGUUGUGGCUCAUGCCAUAUGAAUGGGCUCACUGGCCUGGCCCAGACCCUGACUGCCCACAGGAUCUUUGACAGAGAAACGGAGGCACAGAGAAGGAAGCGGCAGUUAAAGCUGCGAAGAACCUAACAAAUUUCAAGAUUGUAAGUGCCUUUUCCCAGGAUGCCAGCAAGUACUGAGCCUGUAUUUUGAGCUGCAUCAAACCCUGUUGGAAUAAAAAAGGACAUUUCUAGGAGAUCAGUCUUCGAGAUUGGCCCCAGUUUCCCCAGAGUAGGAAGAGGCAGGAAGCCAGAGCACAUGUUCUCUCCAGAAAUAAAGUUGUUGCAGUGGCCUAACCGUGUCUUAGAGUUACUGAAAACUCUGUUCUCUUGAGAUUUCUCAAGAAAGGAAACCUAUCUUGCAAGACAAAACCCACCUGUAGUCAAUU